GAAAAGCUCUUCUAGAUCAGCGCCAUCUAGAGACAUACUUCAGACUGCAGCGCUUGAAAGAUGUGAUGUCCAAUCAGCAUGCUACAUUAAUGAGGGGAAAAAUUCAAAGACAAAGACAAGAGAUGAAGCUCUAUGAUUCCAGACCUAGAGAAGGACAUAGAGAACAGACACUUGUCAGCCUUCAGAGGGCCACCAGAUCAACCCUCACACAUGAUGAUGCAUACCUGAGGUGUCUGCCUAAAACACGCUACUAUCUGGUGAGGCCAGCAUUAUAUCCUGCUUUCUCUCUCCGUAGAUAUUUACUUGGACUUUAAGUGAUUAGACUUUAAAUGAUUAAAAUGCACAUUAUUAACCAUCUCUAAUCUGGCGUUCAUGAGGUUCUGGAAUUGCAGAAAGGGCUUAAACGACUCUGGUGUCUUCAGAGCCGCAGGGAAUGGGGGUUCAGGGUCUGGACAGAACCACACAGAAGCACAUGUCAACUUGAGAAGCAACUACAAGCAGCGGAUGCCAGUCUCAGUAAGAGUGGGUGGAGGAGGGGUGAACGCUUUCCAACAGCAGGGCAAACAGAGUUUGGGACAAGACGAAACUGAGCUCAUGUUUCUUGAGGUAAGUGUCAAACCACAGUGUCUGUGAUCCCAUUAAGCAGCAGUGAGACAAGCACACCUGCAGCAGUCUCACACACAAACAGACAUAACCCUCACUUUCAUCUACACUAUAGACACCACAGACAGGUGAACUUCUAAAAAGAGAAUUAAUGUUUAUAAAAAGAAUUCUAGAUAUAAUAGUUUUCCUUUCAAAAAAAAAAAAAAAAAAAUUUAGAACUGAAAGGCUUUUAUAAGAGGGAAAAAAUCUUUACAGUGUUUGCUCGACAGCACGGAUUUCAUUACACAAUUUACUGAUUAUAUGGUUUGUUCUAAAUACGUUAUGUAACUUCUGUAAGCACACUCAGUGUAGUUGUGAACGGUCUACUUUCUGUUUACAUUCGGAAUUAAUCUAUUUUCAACAUCAAGAACUUUUUUAACCUCUGAAAAAUUAUAUAUUAGCAUUUCCAGUGCUGGGUAGAUUACUUACAAAUUGUAGUCUGUUACUGAUUACAUAUUACAUACAUGUUAAAAAUUACAUUUAGUAAUGUAAUUAAGAUUACUAAUUUGUGUAUUCUGAACACUUUUGGAUUAUUUCUAGAUUACUUUUGACAUAACUUUUUUUUUAUAAAUUUAAAUUGGAUUACUGUUAUAAAAAAAGAAAGAAAGAAAAAAAUGUAUCACCAUUAACCAACAUCAGAGAACAUGCAAAUGUGUUGUUAAAUUAUUGAAAUAUUAUCUUUAAAUCUCAGGGGGAUCCCUGCAUUACAUUAACAAAAACAUUAGAAAGAGAAGAAGAAGAAGAAAAAAGAAUCAUGCAUACUUUACUGCCCUUGUGUGAAUAAUUUGUAAUCAUGUAAUCCAUAAAGAAGUAACUGUAAACUGAUUAUGAGCAUUUCUUAAUUUUUGGAAUGUAAUUAAUGUAGUUCACAUGUAAUCAGUUACUACCAGCACUGGCAAUUUUACUAAUUGAUAUUAUAAUCAAUUCCGCUCGGUCCGGUCCGACUGGCACUUGAACCAUUGACAGACAGCAUGGGAGUCAGAUGCACUAAGGAAGCAGUCUUUAUAGAAUCAGCUGCGAGCACACCUCUUAAAUCUGGGGAACUGAGGUUUACCUGCACAACAUCUUGUACCAGCUUGGCUCCAUUACACAUAUGCCACUAAACCUAUCAUCCGGGUCAUGGCACCACUGUAAACGAUUCUGCUUGUGGAUUUAAUUGACGAUUGCCAGUAUGGGAGUUGGGCAGACUUGCAACAGCGCUAAAGACCACAGCUUUUUUUUAAUGUUAGUCGCUAGUGCACCUAUUAAAGCCAGGAGCUGGCCUCUGUUACACUCACGCCUCUAAACCUCACUCUCACCCGGGUCAUGGCACUACUGUAACAGUUCAGCUCAGGGAACAAACCAAUUAUUACCAGCACGGGAGCUGGACACACUAACAAUGGUGCUAAUGACUACAGCCUUCUAGUGUCAGUUGCUUGUGCACCUCUCGAGGCCAGGGGAGUGAGGUUUACCUGCACAGCUACCUUGUACCACCUGGUCUCCAUUACAUAUACAAUGCAAAAUGUUUUUGAUAAGAAGAACCAGUAAAGGACCUGUAUAUGUAAUAGUGUUGAUCUGUGAAGUCUAGAAAAUAAUCCAUCACUAAAAAGUCUAGAGGUGAAAAACUAAAGCCUCAGUGGUUUGUGGAAGACUUGUUUAAUUGGAAAACUUAGAUAUUAAAAGAAUCUUAACUGAAGUGAAAAAAGCCAUACAGGCUGAAGGUGUGCCCAGCGGUUGAUGUUGCUUAACUGAAAACUAUGGGAAUUGUUGGAGUCAAAUUUUUUUUUACUGAAAAUCUAGGAUAUAUUAUGGAUUUUUGCUGCCUGCUAUAUGAAAACUGCUGUUAAAGUAGUUGACUGCAAGACGACAGUUGUUGCCAGAGUCCAGACCGCAUGGAGGUGAGAGAAGAGGAGGAAGAGAAGGAGCAGUGAAGCUGGGAUGACAGUGGAACCUGUAGAAAGACACGUUUUUCUCACACCUCCCUGUCAUUGUGGACGUGUGCAAACAGAGCACUGGUCUGGAGGAGGGAGUGUGAUGGCAAACAUCGGGCAGACAAGAGUUGGGAAGAACCAGCAGUCAGGGGUAUUACUUAACCUUGCAGCCCACUUACAGCUGCAACACACAAGAAAGCACAGUCGGUACUAGACAUCUAUCACAUGGACAAACGUGAGAUUUUUUUACAUUUUUAUGAGAAAAUGUCUCUGUUUUACACAUAUUAGCCUUUGAACUGAAUACUUUAUUGCAUUAGAUAAUAAAUAUUUCAUUUUUUUCA
ensembl:lncRNA